rnacentral:rRNA from 1 species
UACGAAGGGGGCUAGCGUUGCUCGGAAUCACUGGGCGUAAAGCGCACGUAGGCGGCUUCUAAGUCAGGGGUGAAAUCCUGGAGCUCAACUCCAGAACUGCCUUUGAUACUGGAGAGCUUGAGUCCGGGAGAGGUGAGUGGAACUCCGAGUGUAGAGGUGAAAUUCGUAGAUAUUCGGAAGAACACCAGUGGCGAAGGCGGCUCACUGGCCCGGUACUGACGCUGAUGUGCGAAAGCGUGGGGAGCAAACAGGG